UUCACUGAGCAGCCUGGCUGUCUCUCAAAGUACUUAUUUUAUCUAAUGAAAUAAUGUCUUUAAAAAACAUUUUUCAUUAUACUUGGUACAUAGUUGAUGUAAUAUAAUAAAGGUCGAUUCCCUUUCCCUAUCAUCCUUGCAACAGCUUUGCGAAGUGAAUGCUUUCUACAAAGAACAAGCAGUAAGCUUCUGAAGGCAGGAUUCGAACCUGUCUUUUUGACUCCAGCUCCAGUUCUCAGCCCUCUGGACUAAGCUCCCUAUUUCCUUUCCCAGUCUCUGCAGAGCUCACUAAGGCUCCAAAUACUCCCUCCUCCUCCUCCCUUUUCUUUUUCUAUGCAAUUGUGCCUUAGGAAAUGUUGUUUUUAAGCAGCAAGUUAAAACUUCAACAUUCCUAGCUGUAAUAACAAACUGAGAAAGUUCACUGGCCAGCACUUGAGAAUAUUAUGUUCCAGGCCAAAGUGCUUAAGUGCUUGGGGACUGUGGCUCCUGGUGCUACACACAGGUGUUUACCAAAUACUGUGCCAUUCAGUCCUGGAGAGAGGAGGGCUUUCUCCCUCCCUCCUCUCCCCCCACCCCAGGGCAGUUCUGUCUGAUUAAACAGUCUAGUGCUUUUAGAUUUGAGUCCACCCCUUACCGCCCUUCUAAAGCACUCCAGUUCCAAUAAAGGCAGCUCUAUUGAGGUCAGAUUUCCAUCUUUAGAAAUGGCUUUCUUUCAUUAUGAUUAACCCUUUCCUGCGCUGCUUCCCUCACAGGCAUACCCAUCUGCCCAUGUCCUCCAUUCCAGCUUCUGAUGGCUAGAAGACCAGGACAGGGCUUUUUGUUUUUGUUUUUGAAACCAAAGCUUAGCCUACAGUUCUGACCCCAAGAAGAUUUGAAGGAGCAACUGGUCCUACUUUGUGAAGAAGAAUAAUUUCCCAAAAUUUGACAACAAAGGAGUCAAACCAAGAGAGAACAGCUGAAGAGAAAUGGUCCAGCAAAUGCCCUUUGAAAGUGCUUCCAGUUCCAUUUCCACAACUACGGCCAGUCAGAGAGGUUGAUGGUCACGCCCUGGUUAGUAGCUGUUACAGAACAUCCAUGUAUUUUCCAAUGCCUCUUCAAGAUACUUCCAUUAGAUGUUAUCAUGAUCUUGUUGGGAGCAGGCUCCUAGCCUCUUCCCCAAGGGGAGAUGCUACCAAAAAUGCUAUGCAUGUGCCAUGCCCUUUUAGUCUCAUCUGAGCCUACUUUUCUGUGCUGGGGAACGGAUUUUUUUUCAUACGUAUUUGAAAUGAAGUCCAAACUGAAUUGGUAAUGAUCUCUUUGGCAGAAUAUGGAGAUGUAAGGAAUGUAGGAUUAUUUCAAGCUUCACAGCAUGAGACAUUAAGUACAAAUAGAAACUAGCUAAGAAUAAAGAGUGGAUUGAGCCAAAUAAGAGCUGACCU
rnacentral:lncRNA from 1 species